GCGGACAGAUGGGAGCUUGCUCCCUGAUGUUAGCGGCGGACGGGUGAGUAACACGUGGGUAACCUGCCUGUAAGACUGGGAUAACUCCGGGAAACCGGGGCUAAUACCGGAUGCUUGUUUGAACCGCAUGGUUCAAACAUAAAAGGUGGCUUCGGCUACCACUUACAGAUGGACCCGCGGCGCAUUAGCUAGUUGGUGAGGUAACGGCUCACCAAGGCAACGAUGCGUAGCCGACCUGAGAGGGUGAUCGGCCACACUGGGACUGAGACACGGCCCAGACUCCUACGGGAGGCAGCAGUAGGGAAUCUUCCGCAAUGGACGAAAGUCUGACGGAGCAACGCCGCGUGAGUGAUGAAGGUUUUCGGAUCGUAAAGCUCUGUUGUUAGGGAAGAACAAGUACCGUUCGAAUAGGGCGGUACCUUGACGGUACCUAACCAGAAAGCCACGGCUAACUACGUGCCAGCAGCCGCGGUAAUACGUAGGUGGCAAGCGUUGUCCGGAAUUAUUGGGCGUAAAGGGCUCGCAGGCGGUUCCUUAAGUCUGAUGUGAAAGCCCCCGGCUCAACCGGGGAGGGUCAUUGGAAACUGGGGAACUUGAGUGCAGAAGAGGAGAGUGGAAUUCCACGUGUAGCGGUGAAAUGCGUAGAGAUGUGGAGGAACACCAGUGGCGAAGGCGACUCUCUGGUCUGUAACUGACGCUGAGGAGCGAAAGCGUGGG
rnacentral:rRNA from 1 species